GACGGAGGAUGCAAGCGUUAUCCGGAAUUAUUGGGCGUAAAGCGUUCGCAGGUGGACAUACAAGUCUGCUGUCAAAGUGCAGAGCUUAACUCUGUAAAGGCGGUGGAAACUGUAGGUCUUGAGUAUGGUAGGGGUAGAGGGAAUUCCCGGUGUAGCGGUGAAAUGCGUAGAUAUCGGGAAGAACACCAGUGGCGAAAGCGCUCUACUGGGCCAUAACUGACACUGAGGGACGAAAGCUAGGGGAGCGAAAGGG
rnacentral:rRNA from 1 species